AAGCUGCCUGCAUAGUAACAGUGGGGCAUUUUAUCUUCUAGGCGAUUCUGGUUAUGAACGAGCACCACGGAUGAUGAGACCAUUAUUUCGUGCCAAGAAAAUGUAGAACUAUAAUUUUAUAGAAAUACUGGGCAAAUUUUAGUGUUUUUGGAAGCUCCAGAUGAGGAGUAGAAUAAAUAUCAUGAAGAUGCAUCUCCACAAUCCCUCUUUCUCAACUUGAAACCACACCGAAUGCAAGAAUUGCUAUUGCAAAAAGAAAUAAUAUAAUAUAGAUAUGUGUUUUAAUUAGAGAUGUUCAUUAUUUCAGUAAACACCUAUUGAAAAUCCUAAUAGUGAUACCCUUUGUAUCACCCUAUCUAUGAGUAAUUACAAACUUCAGUUUUUCUGCAAUUGCUAUAGUAUAGAUAACUAUGUAUGAAGUCUGCAAAUUCAAAGCCCACUUUCCUAUUUUCGUCCAUUGGGCUCUUAGAAAUCCCUGUGAGUCGAAAAAUAAAAAUAACACCUAUAUGUAUAUAUAUAUACUAUAGAUAGAAGCGGACCAGAGACAAAAUCGUUCUUUCAUUCGCUAGUUAGCGUUUCGAAUGCGAUCAUUUUAACUAGGUCAUAGUACGAAUUUUAACGAUUCAAUUUGGGAACCUAAUUUACCUGUUCAUUAAUGGCUCGUUUUAGUAAAGUUCAUGGUAAGGCCCCAGAUCAGGGUUGUAACAAAUAUCAGCAUCUGCAUAACUGGCUAAUGCACAUAAAUUAUAUCCGCAUCCACAUCAGCCUCCACGUUCACAGAUGCUGAUAUUCAGUGUGGAUAUUUGCUGUACUUUUUUUGCUGUUGUAAUUACCUUUGGUCCAUUGCAGUACAGACAAAUUCCAGAAUAAUAUUUGUAUCAAUGACCUAAUUUAAUUUGUUGAGUAAAUAGCUGCCUCCCAUUGCUGUAUACAUGUA